UUCCGUAGGUGAACCUGCGGAGGGAUCAUUGAAUAUUAAAACCACAAUGCGAACCUCAACGUUUCGUGCCUUGGCUUGCCAGUGGGGCAUUCGGUAAAACCGUAUGGAGCCCACAGCUGAGCGAGCAAUGCUGCCCGCUCAGUGGCGCCUUGGCAUGCUUAUACACCAGUGCUAACCACUGUUAAAACCAAAUACUGAAUUUGUGAUUGCUAGUAACUGGCAAUCUUAACCAAAGAUAACUCUCAACAACGGAUAUCUUGGCUCUCGCAACGAUGAAGAACGCAGCGAAAUGCGAUACGUAGUGUGAAUUGCAGAAUUCCGUGAACCAUCGAAUCUUUGAACGCAUAUUGCGCUCGAGCCUCCGGGCAAGAGCAUGUCUGCCUCAGCGUCGGUUUACACCCUCACCCCUCCCACUUUGUUGGGUUGCUUGGCAACUUUGCCAGCAUAGGUGGUGGAUCUGGCUUCCCCAAUCUGCCGUCUGGUAGAUUGGGUUGGCUGAAGAGUAGAGGUUUAAGCAAGGACCCGUUAUGGGCUUCAACUGGAUAGGUAGCACCGGCUUGUGCCGACUACACGAAGUUGAUGCUCGUGGAUCUUGCUAGAGGCCAAGCAGGAACGUGCCCAUGGCACGUCUAAACUUUCGACCUGAGCUCAGGCAAGGCUACCCGCUGAACUUAAGCAUAUCAAUAAGCGGAGGAA
rnacentral:rRNA from 1 species